CCCUCAACAAGGGCUCAUAUUAGACGGUGUCAGAGGGUGUGGAGAGCCGCUCGUGCAGCUUUGGAAAGGGCAUCCGAGAGGAUGUGUCGCAACGCAAACCGUCAUCGCAUUCCAGCCCCAUCCUAUAAACCUGGACAACAAGUGAUGCUUCUCACUAAGGACCUCAGUCUCCAGCUGGAGCUGCAGGCACCUCUGCUAACCCCUCUGCUGGCAGCAUGCUCAGACACGCCUCUGCUCGUGCUGAGCACAACACGCCCACACAGCAACAAGCCUGCAAGCAAUCAAUGAUCAACGCACCUGGACUUGACGAGGGGGAGCGGCAUAAAGACCAGCGGACCCGAGGAACCUUUGCCAGAACGUCGCUAACCUUCCAUGACUCCCCUGUCCUCCGUGAUCGUGCCUUGUCACUCGAUACCCAUCCGGAUUCCUG